rnacentral:tRNA from 1 species
UCCGAAUUGGUGUAGUGGCUAACAUUUGACGCUCUCAUGAUCCUCCCGUGAUAGGAACCGUCAAGCCCGGGGUUCGAUUCCCCGAUUCGGAG